GUACAAACUAAAUUAAAGUCAAACCGCAAAAUGCUCAUUAAAUCAGUCACGGUUUACUAGAACUAAUAUAUCUUUUUUUUUGAUAGAUGGAUAACUGUGGUAAUUCUAGAGCUAAUACAUGUGAAAAAAUCUUAUACAGUGAUGUAUAAGACACUUUUAUUAGAUCAAAACCAAUCGAUCAACUUGUUUGUUUCGUUUGAAUUUUGGUGAUUCUGAAUAACAUCGUAGAUCACACAGUCAUUGUACUGGUGACGUAUCUUUCAAAUGCCUGACUUAUCACACUUUCGAUGGUAGAUUCUAUGUCUACCAUGGUUGUAACGGGUGACGGGGAAUCAGGGUUCGAUUCCGGAGAGGGAGCCUGAGAAACAGCUACCACAUCCAAGGAAGGCAGCAGGCACGCAAAUUACCCACUUCCGGCACGGAGAGGUAGUGACAAAAAAUAACGAUACGGGACUCAUCCGAGGCCCCGUAAUCGGAAUGAGUACACUUUAAAUCCUUUAACAAGUACCAAUUGGAGGGCAAGUCUGGUGCCAGCAGCCGCGGUAAUUCCAGCUCCAAUAGCGUAUAUUAAAGUUGUUGCAGUUAAAAAGCUCGUAGUUGGUUCUGUGUGCCACACUGUUGGUUUACCGCCUGUCGGUGUAACUGACAUGUUGUGGGACGUCCUGCCGGUGGUGGUUGCAGACCUUACGGUAUUGUUAACUGCCUUUAAUUCUCAUUGCGGUGCUCUUUAUUGAGUGUCGAAGUGGGCCGGCACUUUUACCUUGAACAAAUUAGAGUGCUCAAGGCAAGCUAAAUUAUGCUUGAAUAUUUGUGCAUGGAAUAAUGGAACAGGACCUUGGUUCUAUUUUGUUGGUUUUCUGAAUCCAAGGUAAUGAUCAAUAUGGACGGUCGGGGGCAUUCGUAUUGCGGCGUUAGAGGUGAAAUUCUUGGAUCGUCGCAAGACGAACUAGAGCGAAAGCAUUUGCCAAGUACGUCUUAAUUGAUCAAGAACGAAAGUUAGAGGUUCGAAGGCGAUCAGAUACCGCCCUAGUUCUAACCAUAAACGAUGUCAGCCAGCGAUCCGUAGAGUUCUUUGAAUGACUCGACGGGCAGCUUCCGGGAAACCAAAGCUUUUGGGUUCCGGGGGAAGUAUGGUUGCAAAGCUGAAACUUAAAGGAAUUGACGGAAGGGCACCACCAGGAGUGGAGCCUGCGGCUUAAUUUGACUCAACACGGGAAACCUCACCAGGCCCAGACAUUGGAAGGAUUGACAGAUUGAUAGCUCUUUCUUGAUUCAGUGGGUAGUGG
rnacentral:rRNA from 1 species